UCUACCCUGAAUCAGCUAAACAGAUUGUUUCCAAGAAGAUGUAGGAGAGAGUAUUAGCAGUUCCCUGGUCCAGAGAGAGAUCCCAGGAAUACAACCUGGAAAGGUAUCAGAGAAGAUCAGAGUAAAGUCUGCAUGAGGCAGCCUUUCACUCUGUGAGGCUAGGAAGAGCAGACUAAAAUGGAGAAAUCACAGGAAAGUCUCUGGGUGCCAGAGUUCUUAGCUAGAAGGGCAAUAUUUUGCAAGAAUAAUAAGCAUCACAACUGACCACAGAGAUCACUGUGUGGUGUAUCCAAAAAUCCAGAGAAAGGAGCUGUUGUUUAUCUCUCUCCUAACCAUCACUGAAGGCAGCAUGAUACCCAUUGCAGCACUCUUUUACAUAUAUUGCAAAUACCCUGGACCCAUCCUCAGCAGAAUCCAAUGAGUGCUAGAGAUUGCUGCAUAGGUGUGAGAUCCUUCUUUCUGCUCAAGAGGAGUCUUGAGAUGGUCCCUUCCAUAAGUGCAUCUAUUCCCGUGUUAUCAGAGGAAUCUUGAAGAUUUCUGCUUGUUUUUGUCAACAUCUUGGGCCAAAAAUAAAUAAAUA